UGGGAAUUUGGACAAUGGGGAAACCCUGAUCUAGCCAUGCCGCGUGAGCGAUGAAGGCCUUAGGGUUGUAAAGCUCUUUCAGCUGGGAAGAUAAUGACGGUACCAGCAGAAGAAGCCCCGGCUAACUCCGUGCCAGCAGCCGCGGUAAUACGGAGGGGGCUAGCGUUGUUCGGAAUUACUGGGCGUAAAGCGCACGUAGGCGGAUUAGUCAGUCAGAGGUGAAAUCCCAGGGCUCAACCCUGGAACUGCCUUUGAUACUGCUAGUCUUGAGGUCGAGAGAGGUGAGUGGAAUUCCGAGUGUAGAGGUGAAAUUCGUAGAUAUUCGGAGGAACACCAGUGGCGAAGGCGGCUCACUGGCUCGAUACUGACGCUGAGGUGCGAAAGCGUGGGGAGCAAAACAGGAUUAGAUGCCCUGGUAGUCCACGCCGUAAAACGAUGAAUGCCAGUCGUCGGGUUGCAUGCAAUUCGGUGACACACCUAAACGGAUUAAAGCAUUCCGCCUGGGGAGUACGGUCGCAAGAUUAAAACUCAAAUGAAUUGACGGGGUCAUAGCUGUUUCC
rnacentral:rRNA from 1 species